rnacentral:misc_RNA from 1 species
GAUGAAGAACGCAGCGAAAUGCGAUAAGUAGUGUGAAUUGCAGAAUUCAGUGAAUCAUCGAAUCUUUGAACGCACAUUGCGCCCCUUGGUAUCCCGAGGGGCAUGCCUGUUCGAGCGUCAUUUCACCACUCAAGCCUGGCUUGGUGUUGGGCGACGUCCCCUUUAGGGACGCGCCUCGAAACGCUCGGCGGCGCGGCACCGGCUUUAAGCGUAGCAGAAUCUUUCGCUUUGGAAGUCGGGGCCCCGUCUGCCGGAAGACCUACUCGCAAGGUUGACCUCGGAUCAGGCAGGGAUACCCGCUGAACUUAAGCAUAUCAAUAAGCGGAGGA